AUGGACGACAGAGUUGGCUGGGUUAGCAGGAAACGGAGGGAUGUCAUGCCAGACGAAAGAUCAACAAGUGCAGACAGGGUCACCGCGCUGGAAAAAGCGCUAACCGGGUUUGCAGAUAGGCAUUCAGAAACUGUGGUGACCCCGUCAGUUGUGCUGACAUUUGAUUCAAUAAACGAGGCGUAUGAGUUCUACAACCUGUACUCUUGGGAAACUGGAUUUGGGGUUCGGUAUGCAAAGAGCAGGUCUAAUGUAAAAGGAACGAAAUGCAUGCAGGAGUUCGUAUGCUGCUGCUCGGGCAAACCAAAAGCAAUCUGGCGUUCCCGGACUUAA
rnacentral:rRNA from 1 species